rnacentral:lncRNA from 10 species
UCUCUACAUCUCUACCUGCAUUCUGGAGUCAGGGAGAAAGCCAAAACGGACGACAAGACACUAGAUCAGCCGUGUCCAACCCUUUGACUACAAGGACUUUUCCGCCUAUCUGUGGUGGGGUUCCUGGCAAGUCAUUUCUCCCUCAGGCCUUCGGUUUCCUCACCUACAAGAUGAGAAGGCUGCACCAGAUGGAAAUUCGAGGCGUAAGGGGAUGUCCGCGUGCAGCCCACCCCGCCCACGGGCCCCUUGAGCCUCCAUCACAGUUCCCAACACG